UGUGGUUUUUCCAGGGUGGAAACCGCUGUUGCAUUUUCACUUUGUUGGAGGAUUAGUCCAGUUAGGAGAUGAGGACUUUUAAUUUCAAUCUUGACUUUUUAAACAUUUAAAUGUUAGCUUUUUUCGGGCUCUACCCCCUCCCAAAACCAGGAAUGGAGGAAAGUGGCCAUCAACCUUGCCAAAUGGAGUGUACUGCCACACUUACAGACUUUUGCAAUGAGGUCCCUGGCUGUGCUCCAAACCCACCUUUCUGUCUGCAUCUCAUCCCUG